rnacentral:lncRNA from 1 species
AAAACAUAAGUUGAAUGAAAUGAUAUUUUCUGGCUUGAUCUUAGUGGUGUUUAUAACCACCAUUUUGCAUGUUUGCCUCAAAGUUUUUGGCACUUAUUCUCUUACCUCUCCCCUCCCCCUCCCAUUAAAUUCCUGAGAAAAAAUAUAAAAUGAUUAGUUCUUGGCUAAACAAAUGGCAAAGGUAAUUGUUAGAUUAAUAUGUUUUUAAUGAACCUUUUUUUUGGGGGGGGGUAUGAAAAUGGAGGAAAAAAAUAAAUUACUAUAUAGAGACCGCACCUUUAAAAAGUCAAGUUUCAUGAUAAAGCUGGUCUCCAAGCACCAGCCAGAAUGGAUGGAGUUUGAAUAGGAUUUAAAAACCCAACUGUGUGCAGAAAUUAGAGUUUUGCCCCUGAAUCAUAUGGAAUUACAGUGCUGGAUGCGUGCGCCGUGCCUACACAAUGAGGCCCAGAGGAAGCUGCUAUUUCUGUUGGUUUUAUUAAACCAACCAAGCAAUUUAAUUCCUUUGUUCGGGAGAGUUCUACUUCAUUGAUUAACAAAAGCAGGGAUAUAAUUUUUUCAGCCUUUUUGAAAAGCCUGAAAUGUCAAGCCUUUUAAAGCAGAUUAUUCUGCCUCUGUGCAGUGAAUACAGCCAGAGUAACCUUUUGUCUACAAUUAAAUAUUCUAGCAUAAAUAUAAAAGAAAAAUCAGAGAUGGGGAAGAUUGACUCACGAGAGAUUGGAGAGGUAGAUUCACACAGUGAUAGUGCAAGCAGCUUGCUUCUAAUUAAAUAUGCGACUGAGUCUCAAAGCAUUUUGCUUUCAGCCGCAGAGAGAAGAAGCUGCCCAAGAAUGGGAAGGAAGAAAUAUAUCACAUCAUCUGUCUGUCCGCAGGCUUUCCUUGGGGCUUAUGAAGUGAGUUGCUGUUAAGCAAGUCCUCCACAAGCAGGAGCAUGACCUUAGAAGAGAAGUGUGGGUGAAGAUGAAUAACUUGAAAUCAGGAUAUGAACACAACUAAACAAGAGCAUUGAAGAAGACCCUGAUGAUAAGCUUCCCGUAUAAAUGCAGAGUUGAACAAAUAACCAGGAGCUCUAUUCAAAUUCAACUUCUUUCUAAAUGUCCAGGUAGAAAAGGAGGCAUUCACUCAUUGCACAAUAUUUCAAGGCAAUGGUUUCUUGAUUUACAAGUAAGCACCCAGUACAAAAGAGAAGAAAAGAUGGAGAUUUAUGGGUACUUGAGAAUUUGUUUGAAUUUUUUACAAAAAUUCAUUUCACACCAUAACAGAAUAGGGAAGUUUAUAAGAGGACUUUGUCAAUGCUUUAAAAUACAUUAUGUCUCUCAAUAAUGUGAAUAAAUGCAUCUGUUUGAGUACUUAGCA